rnacentral:lncRNA from 1 species
GAAGCUGCAGUUAGUGCCUUAGCGGCCCUUAGGGUAUGAACUGAAGCGUGCAGAAGGGGAAGGAUUCUAAAAUCUGUUGAAAUGUACUCUAGUAAGAGGCUUCUUUGCUGAUGUGCUUGGCUCCAACGUCACUGUUGUAAUAAUGUUUUCUUUUUCCUUGUGGUGAUGUCAGCUAGGGAUACUCCUGCUUUCUUCCUCCCACCAAGGACUUUGUUCUGCUGUGGAAAUAAUGUUCUAGCCAUGGGUCAUUGAACUUUAAAUGGCAGAGAGAGUAUGUGAGUGUUAUGCAUCUGAAGGAGCAAUUCAGCCAGUGUUCUGACUGUGGACUGUGACGAGGUAAUGACUCCUAGGGGGUGGGGUGAGAAAUGGGGACAGCAUGAAGUUUCAGAAUAGGAUCUUUCACUCUUGGCUCUGUCCUGGAAAGGCAGUUUAAGUUAGGAGAAGACUUUCCAUUUCUUCAUGCCUUUUUUUCUUUUUUUUUUUUCCCCUGUCUACAUGAAGGGAAGAAUAGGAGCAAGGCAUGAUGUACCUUGUAAAAUAAGAAUCCAACAGUGCAUUGAAGGAAAGAAUGCUGAGGACAGGAUUCUGUGCAUGUGUGGGCAUAUGUUUACUUUAUCUGCUAGAGGCAUGUAUCUCACAGUAGCAGUAAUGAGAAUUCCAUCCCAAAAAUGACAUCCGUCACUCUGGAGAUGUGCCCCCGUUCUGUCAAUUCACAGCACCUAAAGAAACAGCACACAUGAGGAUUCCUGUCCAGUAUGCAUCAUUUGUCUAUUACAUUUUUAGGACAGUUUUAAGACCAAGAGGAUUUGGGCUGAAUACUUUGGAAAAUAUGGAGUGUAUGG